rnacentral:rRNA from 1 species
GUAGGUGGCAAGCGUUGUCCGGAAUUAUUGGGCGUAAAGCGCGCGCAGGCGGUUCUUUAAGUCUGAUGUGAAAGCCCACGGCUCAACCGUGGAGGGUCAUUGGAAACUGGAGAACUUGAGUACAGAAGAGGAAAGCGGAAUUCCACGUGUGGCGGUGAAAUGCGUAGAGAUGUGGAGGAACACCAGUGGCGAAGGCGGCUUUCUGGUCUGUAACUGACGCUGAGGCGCGAAAGCGUGGGGAGCAAACAGGAUUAGAUACCCUGGUAGUCCACGCCGUAAACGAUGAGUGCUAAGUGUUAGGGGGUUUCCGCCCCCCUUAGUGCUGCAGCUAACGCAUUAAGCACUUCGCCUGGGAGUACGGCCGCAAGGCUG